CCAAUAGCGUAUAUUAAAGUUGUUGCAGUUAAAAAGCUCGUAGUUGAACUUCGGGGUUUACCCAUUGGUCAGGCUUAAUGGUCUGUACUGGUGAGAUAAAUCUCUACCUUCUGAGGAACUUUCAUGUCAUUAAUUUGGGGUGAUGGGAAAUCAGGACUGUUACUUUGAAAAAAUUAGAGUGUUUAAAGCAGGCUAACGUCUGAAUACAUUAGCAUGGAAUAAUGAAAUAGGACGGCUUGAUUCUAUUUCGUUGGUUUCUAGGAUCACCGUAAUGAUUAAUAGGGAUAGUUAGGGGCAUUAGUAUGCAAUUGUCAGAGGUGAAAUUCUUGGAUUUACUGAAGACUAACUACUGCGAAAGCAUUUGCCAAGGAUGUUUUCAUUAAUCAAGAACGAAAGUUAGGAGAUCGAAGACGAUCAGAUACCGUCGUAGUCUUAACCAUAAACUAUGCCGACUAGGGAUCGGACGAAGUUAAUUUUAUAAUGACGCGUUCGGCACCUUACG
rnacentral:rRNA from 1 species